CAGCAGCCACGGUAAUACGUAGGGUGCGAGCGUUAAUCGGAAUUACUGGGCGUAAAGCGUGCGCAGGCGGUUGUGUAAGACAGGUGUGAAAUCCCCGGGCUUAACCUGGGAACUGCGCUUGUGACUGCACAGCUAGAGUAUGGCAGAGGGGGGUGGAAUUCCACGUGUAGCAGUGAAAUGCGUAGAGAUGCGGAGGAACACCGAUGGCGAAGGCAGCCCCCUGGGCCAAUACUGACGCUCAUGCACGAAAGCGUGGGGAGCAAACAGGAUUAGAUACCCCUGUAGUCCCUGUCUCUUAUAC
rnacentral:rRNA from 1 species